rnacentral:lncRNA from 1 species
AGGAUCACGACACAAGACCACGCUCAUACGUAGUAGAGCUCCACACUUCAUACCACGCUUGUAUUCGCCCCUGUACAAGCACUUAGGUGCAAGAUAAUACAAACUCUCUCCCCCCGCUGGACGUAGGGCCUUCUCUUGCCCGAACCAGGAUAAAUCUCUGUGUCUUCUUGCAUCACCAUCCGGGAAAGGGAGCACGCAUACAAAUUUACUCGUUGG